rnacentral:rRNA from 1 species
CAGCAGUGGGGAAUAUUGCACAAUGGGGGAAACCCUGAUGCAGCGACGCCGCGUGGAGGAAGAAGGUCUUCGGAUUGUAAACUCCUGUUGUUGAGGAAGAUAAUGACGGUACUCAACAAGGAAGUGACGGCUAACUACGUGCCAGCAGCCGCGGUAAAACGUAGGUCACAAGCGUUGUCCGGAAUUACUGGGUGUAAAGGGAGCGCAGGCGGGAAGACAAGUUGGAAGUGAAAUCCAUGGGCUCAACCCAUGAACUGCUUUCAAAACUGUUUUUCUUGAGUAGUGCAGAGGUAGGCGGAAUUCCCGGUGUAGCGGUGGAAUGCGUAGAUAUCGGGAGGAACACCAGUGGCGAAGGCGGCCUACUGGGCACCAACUGACGCUGAGGCUCGAAAGUGUGGGUAGCAAACAGGAUUAGAUACCCUGGUAGUCCACACCGUAAACGAUGAUUACUAGGUGUUGGAGGAUUGACCCCUUCAGUGCCGCAGUUAACACAAUAAGUAAUCCACCUGGGGAGUACGACCGCAAGGUUGAAACUCAAAGGAAUUGACGGGGGCCCGCACAAGCAGUGGAGUAUGUGGUUUAAUUCGACGCAACGCGAAGAACCUUACCAAGUCUUGACAUCCUGCGACGCACAUAGAAAUAUGUGUUUCCUUCGGGACGCAGAGACAGGUGGUGCAUGGUUGUCGUCAGCUCGUGUCGUGAGAUGUUGGGUUAAGUCCCGCAACGAGCGCAACCCCUAUCUUUAGUAGCCAGCGGUUAGGCCGGGCACUCUAGAGAGACUGCCAGGGAUAACCUGGAGGAAGGUGGGGAUGACGUCAAAUCAUCAUGCCCCUUAUGAUUUGGGCUACACACGUGCUACAAUGGCGUAAACAAAGGGAAGCGAGAUUGUGAGAUGGAGCAAAUCCCAAAAAUAACGUCCCAGUUCGGACUGUAGUCUGCAACCCGACUACACGAAGCUGGAAUCGCUAGUAAUCGCGGAUCAGAAUGCCGCGGUGAAUACGUUCCCGGGUCUUGUACACACCGCCCGUCACACCAUGGGAGUCAGUAACGCCCGAAGUCAGUGACCCAACCGUAAGGAGGGAGCUGCCGAAGGUGGGACCGAUAACUGGGGUGAAGUCGUAACAAGGUAGCCGUAUCGGAAGGUGCGGCUG